CCCUUAGAUGUUCUGGGCUGCACGCGCGCUACACUGAAGGAGGCAGCGUGUACUCCUGGAUCGAAAGAUUUGGGUAACCCGCGAAUCUCCUUCGUGCUAGGGAUUGAGGUUUGCAAUUAUCCUUCAUGAACGAGGAAUUCCCAGUAAGUGCAAGUCAUAAGCUUGCGCUGACUACGUCCCUGCCCUUUGUACACACCGCCCGUCGCUACUACCGAUUGAAUGAUUUAGUGAGGACUUCGGACUGGGACCGAUGCGGCUUUCGGGCUGCGUCGGUAUUCUGGAAAGAUGUCCAAACUGUAUCAUUUAGAGGAAGGAGAAGUCGUAACA
rnacentral:rRNA from 1 species